ACCACACAGGGUGGCCAUCCUUGAAAAUGACCAAGAAACAUGCCGGGUGCAGGAGCAAGGAAACCAAAGAUAAUGGAGAUGAGGCAGGAGAUGAGGAGGGGCUGGGGCAGGCGCACCAAGCGCCAAGACCCAACAAUCCUCCCCUCUACCCCGCAGCUCCAGUGUGGCUCGCUCCUGGGACCACACCGUUAAAACCUGAGUCUUCAUCGCCCGGAGCAAGCACAAAUGGACAUGAGCAUGCUCACCAGCAUACACGCACACCCCACCCCAGGGUAGCUGUCCAACGCUCCCGCUGGGAUACACUUUGGAAACCUGAAGAAUACACUCCACUCCUUUGACCCCCACUG
rnacentral:lncRNA from 1 species